CCUACGGGAGGCAGCAGUCGGGAAUUUUGGGCAAUGGGCGAAAGCCUGACCCAGCAACGCCGCGUGAGGGAUGAAGGCCCUCGGGUCGUAAACCUCUGUCGGGAGGGAAGAACCGUUGCGAUUCGAACAGGGUCGCAACGUGACGGUACCUCCAAAGGAAGCACCGGCUAACUCCGUGCCAGCAGCCGCGGUAAUACGGAGGGUGCAAGCGUUGUUCGGAAUCAUUGGGCGUAAAGCGCGUGUAGGCGGCUUGGCAAGUCGGGUGUGAAAUCCCGGGGCCCAACCCCGGAACUGCAUUCGAAACUGCCUCGCUAGAGUCCCGGAGAGGAAGGCGGAAUUCCCGGUGUAGAGGUGAAAUUCGUAGAUAUCGGGAGGAACACCAGCGGCGAAGGCGGCCUUCUGGACGGUGACUGACGCUCAGACGCGAAAGCGUGGGGAGC
rnacentral:rRNA from 1 species